CCCUGUGAUCUCACCCCUUAUGUCUCGGUAGAGAUGCAAUCGCCCAACUUCACCGUUUGAGUGGCGUUGGAAAGGUUUUGGGAGUUUAUGGAAACUGUCAGAUGUGUUUUAUACACCAGGCACUGGAACCUAAUGAGAAAACAAGAGCUGGAGCCAGGCCAAAAAAGGAGAGCUUGCUGGUGAUUCAUUGGACCAGACCACACCAGAUCCCCCCAUCCCAAUGGGAGAUAAUAAGGCCAUUUAUAUGGGUGUCAGUGGACAGGAAGCACGACCAUAUCUAGACUCUGAAGGGCAGACAAUCAAGUCUUCAGAAGAAAAUAUUGGAAGAAACCACAUAGACUUUUAUAGUGAUGAAUGCUGUCUGGUGGGAUGCUAUCCCUUUAAACGUCUGCCGGCGGGACAGUUCGGAUCUGAUACAGGCAAGAUACAAGACGUCCUGCGAGGUCCCGGCAAUACAGAUAACUGCUGACAGACGGCAGCCAAUUUGCUGUCCCGCCACACCAGAGCAAAGCGCUAGAAAUAUGGGCAGAGGAGUGACCCUUUGGCUGUGUCGCCCAUCCAUCCGAACCUGGUGGUGGGCUGGCCACCGUGGUAAUUGCCUGCGAAACAGUGUUUUGACAAGCCAGACGGGUGUAAGCCAUCAUUCUAGCAGCACGGUGAUGAGGUGUCACCUGGAGAGAGCUGUUGAGAGCCCACAUGUUUACAUGCAGCCAGUGUGGUUCCACUGAGACAGCAGUAAUCCAUUAAGAAGGGGGCUGAUCCUGCGAGGGGUUUGAUGAAGUUGAAGCUCCUCUGCCCCAUGCAGAAGGGCGUUUAGCGCUGCCGGCCCCACUGCUAGUGUGCAGGGAUAUAUCACCUGCGUACUCACUGUUUCAUCAUAGCUUUCUGUUUCUCUACUCUCCAAACAGUCUUCAGUGCUUUAGACUGGAUGUCCAAUUGAAAGGAAAACUCACCUUUUGUCCACUCAAAAUAUAAAAGAAAGGAAUCUUUUAUAUGUUUCAAAAAGCUUAACUGAUGUUUCUAGCCGGGUUUCCUCUGUUUUUAAAAAGGUCUUAGUUUGUCCUAAAAAGGACUUAAAUCGGAGCAGAAGGUCUUAAAAUUAUGGCAUGAAAUGUUGGAUGUACUGCAAAAAACUUUCUCUGUGGUUUUGUUUUGUUUCCCAAUACAAAUAUCGAAAAAUAUUAAAAUAAGAUAGAUUUAGGCCUACUUGAGAUACAAAAUGUACAUAUGAAGUUUUGUUUUCUGAGAAACUGAACAAUAAUCAAUAAA